CGGGACGGGUGAGUAACGCGUGGGUAACCUGCCUCAUACAGGGGGAUAACAGUUAGAAAUGACUGCUAAUACCGCAUAAGACCACAGCACCGCAUGGUGCAGGGGUAAAAACUCCGGUGGUAUGAGAUGGACCCGCGUCUGAUUAGCUGGUUGGUGAGGUAACGGCCCACCAAGGCGACGAUCAGUAGCCGACCUGAGAGGGUGACCGGCCACAUUGGGACUGAGACACGGCCCAG
rnacentral:rRNA from 1 species